rnacentral:rRNA from 1 species
CGGGUGCGGAACACGUACGCAACCUUCCCAAAACAGGUGAAUAGCCCUGCGAAAGUAGGAUUAAUACACCGUAAGAUAUAGCUUAGGCAUCUCGGUUAUAUUAUAGGUAGCGAUACCGGUUUUGGAUGGGCGUGCGCCUGAUUAGGUAGUUGGUGUGGGUAACGGCCCACCAAGCCUUCGAUCAGUAACUGGUGUGAGAGCACGACCAGUCACACGGGCACUGAGACACGGGCCCG